CCGGCGCCGCGGCUCAAUAGGCUAAUCCUCCGCCUAGCGGCGCCGGCACACCGGGUUCUAGUCCCGGUCGGGGCGCCGGAUUCUGUCCCGGUUGCCCCUCUUCCAGGCCAGCCCUCUGCUGUGGCCAGGGAGUGCAGUGGAGGAUGGCCCAGGUGCUUGGGCCCUGCACCCCAUGGGAGACCAGGAAAAGCACCUGGCUCCUGGCUCCUGCCAUCGGAUCAGCGCGGUGCGCCGGCCGCAGCGCGCCGGCCGCGGCGGCCAUUGGAGGGUGAACCAACGGCAAAGGAAGACCUUUCUCUCUGUCUCUCUCUCUCACUGUCCACUCUGCCUGUCAAAAAAAAAAAAAAAAAAAAAAAAAAAGAAGGGGGAUCAGGUGUGAAAACGGUGGAUCUGAUGAAAUCCCAGUCCGGGAUCUGUCAGCGCGGGUGGAGUGGCCCAAGACCACCUUAGAUGUUGGUGUCAUUUGAAGAGCUGGCUGUGUACUUCACUCAGAGGAAUGGCAGGAACUGGACCAUGCUCAAAGGAUCCUGCACAGGGAUAUUAUGUUGGAGACCUACAGCAGCCUGCUGUCCUUGAGAUAUUGCAGUACCAAACCUGAGGUGAUCGUCAAGUUGGAGCAAGGAGAGGAGCCAUAGAUGGUGGGAAACCAAAGCUUCCUAGGUCAGUCAGUAAACACUGGACAGGGAGGCUGGGACAGAAAGCACUCAGCACAUGUCGACCGUGUAGAGCUUUUAUGAAUUUUUCCCAAGUCUCUGCCCUAAGAACAGCUGGUGUCAUUUAUCAGACAUAGGCAUUCCAUUGUCUAAGGAAGGCUUUCAUGUGUAUAUUUAUCUGCUGCUUUUCGGUAUUUGGUGAAUAUUGUCUUAGAUUUGCCAAAAAUGCAAUCACUUUCAGGGUCUAAUAAGGCUAUUUUCUAGGAUAGAUACAUCCUCUAAAUUCUAACUCAUCCUCUCUACUUUCAUAUUUUGGUUUUAUUCAGAAAUUUAUUCAUAUAAUUAUUGUUUCAAUACUUAU